rnacentral:lncRNA from 1 species
UUUAAGCCUCAUUCUGUCAUAGGUUACAAUCCUUUGGGGGGCAGAGAUGUGUUGUUAGUUCGCUGAAAGUAGAAUUUAAUUGGCUAUUCUACAGAAUAAUGAUUUUUAAUUUGGCAAGAGAGUCAUGAUGCAGUCAGCCUUUUAGGUCUUUAAAGUUGUAUGGAAGUUAAAGAAAGUAACCAAACCUUACUUGGAACACUUGGCUCCUCCCUCUGCAAAGCAGGGCUGUAGACCUCUGUGUGUGAUUGUGGGUUGGGCACACUGGAGCUUCUGGCCAUCAUGAGUAGCUGUAGUGGGGGCAGGGAGAGUGAGGGUUGUCUGCUUCACCACUGACCUUUUCCAGUGGCCUGGACUGAGUUUUUCA